rnacentral:rRNA from 1 species
UCCAACGGCCAUACCAUGUUGAAAACGUGGGUUCUCGUCCGAUUAACGCGGUUAAGCAACAUUGGUUGCGGUUAGUAGUUGGAUGGGUGACCGCUUGGGAACACCGCGUGCUGUUAGAA